UACGUAGGGUGCAAGCGUUGUCCGGAAUUAUUGGGCGUAAAGAGCUCGUAGGCGGUCUGUCGCGUCGAUCGUGAAAACUUGGGGCUUAACCCUGAGCUUGCGGUCGAUACGGGCAUGACUGGAGUUCGGCAGGGGAGACUGGAAUUCCUGGUGUAGCGGUGAAAUGCGCAGAUAUCGGGAGGAACACCAAUGGCGAAGGCAGCUCACUGGGACGGUACUGACGCUGAGACGCGAAAGCGUGGGGAGCAAACAGG
rnacentral:rRNA from 1 species